rnacentral:rRNA from 1 species
CUGGUUGAUCCUGCCAGUAGUCAUAUGCUUGUCUCAAAGACUAAGCCAUGCAUGUCUAAGUAUAAAUGUUAUACAGUGAAACUGCGAAUGGCUCAUUAAAACAGUUAUAGUUUAUUUGAUAAUCGAAUUUACAUGGAUAACCGUGGUAAUUCUAGAGCUAAUACAUGCUGGUUAGCCUGACUUCGAGGAAGGGCUGUAUUUAUUAGAUAACAAACCAAUAUUCUUCGUGUCUAUUGUGAUGACUCAUAAUAACUGAUCGAAUCGCAUGGUCCUUGACCGCGAUAAAUCAUUCAAGUUUCUGCCCCAUCAGCUUUCGAUGGUAGUGUAUUGGACUACCAUGGCUUUAACGGGUAACGGAGGAUUAGGGUUCGAUUCCGGAGAGGGAGCCUGAGAAACGGCUACCACAUCUAAGGAAGGCAGCAGGCGCGUAAAUUACCCAAUCCUGACUCAGGGAGGUAGUGACGAGAAAUAACGGACCGAGGCUUUGCUUCGGGAUUGCAAUGAGUAGAAUUUAAACCCCUUUACGAGGAUCCAUUGGAGGGCAAGUCUGGU